UACGGGGGGGGCAAGCGUUGUUCGGAAUUACUGGGCGUAAAGGGCUCGUAGGUGGCCAACUAAGUCGGACGUGAAAUCCCUCAGCUUAACUGGGGAACUGCGUCCGAUACUGGAUGGCUUGAGUUUGGGAGAGGGAUGCGGAAUUCCAGGUGUAGCGGUGAAAUGCGUAGAUAUCUGGAGGAACACCGGUGGCGAAGGCGGCAUCCUGGACCAACACUGACACUGAGGAGCGAAAGCCAGGGGAGGCAAACGGG
rnacentral:rRNA from 1 species